CCUACGGGAGGCUGCAGUGGGGAAUAUUGCGCAAUGGGCGAAAGCCUGACGCAGCGACGCCGCGUGAGGGAUGAAGGUCUUCGGAUCGUAAACCUCUGUCAGCAGGGAAGAACGGUCACUGUGCUAAUCAGCAGUGAAUUGACGGUACCUGCAAAGGAAGCACCGGCUAACUCCGUGCCAGCAGCCGCGGUAAUACGGAGGGUGCGAGCGUUAAUCGGAAUUACUGGGCGUAAAGCGCUCGUAGGCGGUAUGUCAAGUCAAGGGUGAAAUCCCCGCGCUCAACGUGGGAACUGCCUUUGAAACUGGCAAACUGGGGUGUGUGAGAGGAUAGUGGAAGUCCAGGUGUAGGAGUGAAAUCCGUAGAUAUCUGGAGGAACAUCAGUGGCGAAGGCGACUAUCUGGCACAUAACUGACGCUGAGGAGCGAAAGCGUGGGUAGCAAACAGGAUUAGAUACCCUUGUAGUC
rnacentral:rRNA from 1 species